CCUGCCUCCCGCGUCCGGGCCCUGCGCCCACCUGCGCGUGGCCUCCCCCGCCCCCCGGUGCCCGCUCGGUGCUGCCUCUGGCCUGGGGGCCCCUGAUCCGCCUCGCGCUCGGCCCUGCGAGGAGUGAGCCUGCGCCGGCCAGGCCAGCAGUCCUCAGCGCUCCCCUUCAGUGUCCUGGCCUCGAGGUCCCCAAGUGACAAUCGAAAGGAUGUCUGCUGUGGGAAUGAAACCUGCCAGUCCAGUUUGCGGAUUCGCUUUUUUGGAAAAGGAAAAUGUGAAACGCCAGAAGAAUGCAUAACUUAAGCCGUCGGGGCUGACUCCAGGGGAUGUGCCCCUCGGACCUGCAACAUUUCAGAGUCGCGGAAAGGCCCUGGCUCUUGCUUCCCUGACGCUGGGUCCUCCUCUACACGCUGCGCCGAGGACGUCUGGACAGGGCUGGAGCCCUGGGAAGAGAGGAACCCUAAGCCUGGAAAGAAGCAAGCCCUGGGGAGAGAGGAGCCCAGGAAGCCUGGACCCUGGCGGACGUCGGCAGCCGUCUUGCUCCAGCACGUGGCAACAGACGUUGGCUAGAGGUGUUUCAAGUGGUGGCGCUUCUGCUGGUCUUUCUACGCCUUCAGUCUCCCGAUGGGUGUCGGCCCAGGCACCACCUGCUGCUGUUUUCACACAGGAACUGCAGUGCCAGAUCCCCACAGCUCGUCUCUUCCUUUCGGUCUUGCCACAGAGGGAGCAAGUAAACUUGGCGUGCUGGCCGACUUCAGUUUUCUUCACCAUUUUCCUAAGGGAGGCGCCAUAACUUGUCCCAUUAUUUACCAACGAUUCUGACCUUCUUGGUGCGUUUUGCCAUAUUUGCCAUGCUCUUAAUUCCCUCUCAAAGCUCCCAAAUAGUCUUCUCAACCCAUUUUCUCUUGUAAAUGGUUGUUGAAGACCUCAAGCGUUGCCCGUGGAAAUUUGGAAACGUCGGUGUUUUAGUUAGCGCCUGUCAUAGGCUGUUAUGAACUUAAAUAGAGUCGAGUAGAUUCUCCUCAGUCUUUUAUUCAUUAUUCCUUUAACAUAACUGUCACUUAAACAAUUUGCUGAUAUUAAUAUCAGUCUUUGUAAACAAAACAAUAGUAAAGGAUUACUUCGCUGUUUCUCGUGUGUUUUACGUGGGAUUCUGAAGUU
rnacentral:lncRNA from 1 species